GUUUAAACAGAAUGUUCAAGCGAACGAGCAAAAUCUCAUUUCGAUAGAAAAGUGUUAACACAACGAAACUCGUAAAACGAAUGAGACAACGACGGAACUUACACAAUAACCAAACAGUCGACCUCAUAUGCAACGAAAAAUUCUCGAUUAAUACAGAAUCAAAUACCGUAAAAAGAAAAAGAAAAGAAUAGAAAAAAUAAGAACCAAACUUAGAAAAAAGAAGAAUGAACGAUAGAAUUUAUUCAGACUAUUUUAAGUUAACCACCAUCCCACUUUUACAAAAAAAAAUAUUUCCUAAAGCAUAUGAUGGGACUCAAACUCUAGACUAG
rnacentral:lncRNA from 1 species